rnacentral:rRNA from 1 species
UACGGGGGGAGCAAGCGUUGUUCGGAUUUACUGGGCGUAAAGGGCGCGUAGGCGGUCAGCUCAAUUCAGUUGUGAAAUCUCCGGGCUUAACCCGGAAAGGUCAACUGAUACUGUGCGGCUAGAGUGCGGAAGGGGCAACUGGAAUUCUCGGUGUAGCGGUGAAAUGCGUAGAUAUCGAGAGGAACACCUGCGGCGAAGGCGGGUUGCUGGGCCGACACUGACGCUGAUGCGCGAAAGCCAGGGGAGCGAACGGG